AGCUAAUGCACAGCGGAAUCAAGUCAAACUGUGUUUUUCUACAUUUCCAACUGGAUAUAGCCACUAAUUGAUUGUAAUACUGACUCUAUGUAAAGAUUAUCAUUAUAUGUGAAUACCACCAUUGUGUGACCUCAUUUCCUGUUUCAUUGCUCACUGUGGGUAUAAAUACCGGUACAUGGGCUCCUGGUCUGCAGGCCUUGACAAAGAUCUCUUGUAGAGAUUGAAACGCAUUGGGAGCAGACAGAAGCGCUUUUUUUCAUCAUUUAUGCACAAUCUCCCCACCCGGAUUUUGGACCCUGGAUGCACCGAUAAGAAUUCCGGAAUCUGCAUGCUCAGUUCCCUACAAGUGUGGAAGAAUGGAAAGCUAUUGCAGAGGACUUUGACAGGCGGUGGAAUUUCCCAAACUGUGGUGAUGCAAUAGACGGGAAACAUGUGCGCAUCACCAAACCCACCAACAGUGGGUCGGACUACUUCUAUUAUAAAGGCUACUUUAGCAUUGUUCUCAUGGUGAUGGUCAAUGCAACUAUGAAUUUAUUUUCCUGGAUGUUGGGAAAAAUGGUCAUUGCUCGGAUGGUGGAUCCUUGAAAAAUACGCGCUUCUGUGAUAGGCUCACCACCAACUCCAUUCAUCUGCCGCCUGUGGAGCAAACAAAGAAUGGCCUGGGAUUUGUGUUUGUGGCAGAUGGGGCUUUCGCAUAGACUGCAGCUCUAAUCUGCCACCAGCCACGCAUAUGCGCAUCAUGGAAUGGACAUCAAGCCACCAUCAGACUUCUGAAAAACCCUAAUAUUGGUCAGAAUGUCCACCGGAAUUUGGUUGCCGGGGUCAGAUGAACGUCUGGCACAGUCCCUGAUAUCGGCAUGUCCCCAACACACUCACCAAGUCAAGAUAAACCUUUGACACCAUCCAGGAAUGAAUAUCGGAAUCGUCCAUACAGUUCCAGCAAUGACCAUCAGAACAUAUGCACACUGGGCCCGAUUCAUACCUGAUCGCGAAAACGCACAGCGGGCAAUUAUCGAACUACUGCACAUGCACGUCCACUGCAAUGCAUACGCGCAUCGCCAAACAGCGACAGGAUGGUGCAAACAUUUCGAUCACACGGCCGUUCUGAAGGUGAUUGACAGGAAGAGGACAUUUGUGGGUGGUAAAUGACCAUUUUCUGAGAGAGUCUGGAAAAACGCGGGCAUUUCCAAGCGAUUUCAGGGCGGGUGUGUGACGUCAGCUCUGGCCCCGAUCAGCCUGUUUGUAUUGCACUCUAGGAGUCAGUCUUGGGCUGGACACAGACUGUACAGAAUGGUAAAAACAUUUGAUUGUGAGAGUGGUGCGAAUGGUUUUGCAGCUGUCCGCUGACUGAGGGGAAUUUUCACACAGCACACACAUGCAAUGGCACACUUGCACAGGGCAAAUUUUCAACUCCCCCUGGGCGGCGACUAUCUGAUAGCAGGACAGUGUCAUUUGCAGCACAAUGAUCAGGUCUGAAUUAAGCCCAGUCUGUCUUAGACAUGUGCAUAAGUAAAACAUUGAGCACUUAUGCCCGUUGUUUUCCUAGCGUCAGGGUCUGCAUCAGACGAUAAGGUAUCAUUUCCAAUAUGCAUUGCACAAUUUAGUAGUUAAAGGACGUCAUAUUAUUAAUAAAGAAGAGAAUAAGUCAGAAAGAUGAUUCACAGGUUGAAUUUAUUCCCAGUUAAAUAAAAGUUCAAGUAUGUACAGUAUGUCUGUUUUCAGUCUACUGUCUAAGGGGGACAUUUACUAAGCAGUGAUAAGAGCGGAGAAGUGAGUCAGUGGAGAAGUUGCCCCAUCAACCAAUCAGCAGCUCUGUAUAAUUUUGUAGUAUGCAAAUUAUAGAUGUUACUUCAGUGCUGAUUGGUUGCCAUGGGCACUUCUCCACUGACUCACUUCUCCACUCUUAUCACUGCUUAGUAAAUGUCCCCCUAAAUGUCUACAUAAUAUACUGUAUAAUUCUCCAGGUUCACACGCAUUUAUACCGGAGCAGAAAUGGCACAUUUAUACAGAUAUAAACACUCCUUUUGUUCUUACACAGCAGAGAAGGUGACAGCAGCCUGAUGUAAGCAGACCUGUGAAUUUGAUUAAUACGCAUAAUAAGGCUGUCAUGGGAAUGUAUACAUACAGUACGUGUGUCAUCCAUCUCCCAGCUGUAAUAAAUUCAUUGCUUGCACAGUCUGCUCCUGCCAAGGAAACCACUCGACUGCAUAAAGAGGAACAAACAAGACUGAAAACUUCUCAUUCCUUCCCCUCCGACCUGAUAGUGACUCCUCGGGCUCAUCUGUGGCUGCUCAUGUCAUAGCUAUAUUGAAGGCUGAUCACAAAUUCUGUUUUAUUAUCUAGUUAUGAAAUUGCUGGACCUAACAGUGCGCUGUACAAACAUUACCAUUGUAAUACCCUACACACUAUACUACUCUAACAUCCCAUGUUAUACCACCACUGUAAUACCCCACACACCAUACUAUACCUCCCCAACAUCACAUAUUACACCACCACUGUAAUACCCUACACACUAUACUACUCUAACAUCCCAUGUUAUACCACCACUGUAAUACCCCACACACCAUACUAUACCUCCCCAACAUCGCAUAUUACACCACCACUGUAAUACCCUACACACUAUACUACUCUAACAUCCCAUGUUAUACCACCACUGUAAUACCCCACACACCAUACUAUACCUCCCCAACAUCGCAUAUUACACCACCACUGUAAUACCCCACACACUAUACUACUCUAACAUCCCAUAUUAUACCACCACUGUAAUACCCCACACACCAUACUAUACCUCCCCAACAUCACAUAUUACACCACCACUGUAAUACCCCACACACCAUACUAUACCUCCCCAACAUCACUAUACUACUCUAACAUCCCAUAUUAUACCACCACUGUAAUACCCCACACACCAUACUAUACCUCCCCAACAUCCCAUAUUAUACCACCACUGUAAUACCCCACACACCAUACUAUACCUCCCCAACAUCCUAUAUUAUACCACCACUGUAAUACCCCACCCACCAUUCUACCAUCCUAACAUUCUGUAUUAUACCACCACUGUAAUACCCCACACACCAUACUAUACCUCCCCAACAUCCCCUAUUAUACCACCACUGUAAUACCCCACACACUAUACUACUCUAACAUCCCAUGUUAUACCACCACUGUAAUACCCCACACACCAUACUAUACCUCCCCAACAUCGCAUAUUACACCACCACUGUAAUACCCUACACACUAUACUACUCUAACAUCCCAUGUUAUACCACCACUGUAAUACCCCACACACCAUACUAUACCUCCCCAACAUCGCAUAUUACACCACCACUGUAAUACCCCACACACUAUACUACUCUAACAUCCCAUAUUAUACCACCACUGUAAUACCCCACACACCAUACUAUAC